CCUCAUUCUUCCGUCGGCAGGCAAAGGUUGUUUUUAUUAUACAUGUGGCAGUUUGAUUUUCAUUUUUUUUUAAUUUAUCACGUUUAUAGGAUCCAUUCGGUUUCAUUAUGCGGUGGUUCUCCUUGCGUUCGUCCUUGUUGAUGGCCACUCGGGUGAUAGUACGUAUCGGCAUGGGCAUUUAGACUUCAAUUUCUCUUGAUGUUUGGACGAUGGAAUCUUGAAGGAGGAAGAGUUUGACCCGCUUCAUUUUUCAAGAGUUUCGGUAAAUAGAGAAGAUGGAGAUAAACGAUUAAUCUCUAAAUCCGAUGUGGCCAGGCUGUUCAAACUAAAGGGACUAAGGUGUGGAUAAUGUUGAGACCUAAGACCUGGAAUGAAAGUAGCUGCAAAUGUCAUCUUGAAUUUCUGAAGGUUGUUUUGAUGUCUGACUGGUGUGGCCUGAACUGAAACGGAUGUGACACUUCGUUCUUUCGAAGUUUCCAGUUAAUUGGAAAUGAUGAAAUAGAUUAUUGACUAAAAGCUUCAGCCUUGGCCAGUUUUGGUGGAGCUGGGGUUGCAAUGCUACCAUGGAGUUCAAUUGGAUUCUUGAAACUGUCGUGGAUGAGAUUUAUAAUGUACUAUACUCUUAAAAUAAUGGCAAAUGUCCUUAUCCCUACUCUUUUCCAUGGUUAGUGUUUCAUGACUCUAAAGGUAAAAAUUGUGCUAGGAAACUUUAAGCUAGUGGCUUGCAUUCCAAAAAGGCCAAUAUUGGCUAAAGUAAAGGUUUUGGUAAGGCUUAAAAAGACAACAAAGAAUCUGAACUAGAGUACUUGAGUACUUGACGGGCGUUUAUCUAAGGUUACUGUAACUGUUGAUUGUAGUGUUCUUCAGGCCCAGAGGAAAUCGCUAGAAAAAAGAAAUUGUCCUUGGCUAUUAACUAAAAAGAAUGUAUAGAGUAAAUUUUAAUUCUCCUAGAAAUGCCAAAAUUAAAUAGUUUUAAAAUUUUCUAAAAGUUAAAAGAAAAGCUGGUCAAUGGUAAAAAUAAUUAAUUGCCCUUAAUGUAGAUGUGUAAACGUGCCUAUUUGUUUAUUAGGUCAAUUGCUUCAACGAAGUUGGGUUCUAAUCUGUGAAUCUUCGAACUGUUUUCCGUAAUGAAAAAUACAUUAACCACUUAGUGGCGGUGAGAGCUGAAUCUACCUAGUCUAUCGUGGACAGGUAUUCAUUAAUAUAUCUCGUAGGGAAAUUCAUUAAUUAAGGAGGGAAGUUUAGCGUGACAUAAUUUGAGCUUGGGAAAGUUUGGCUAAUAAAUGGGUAACGGUAAAUGAAGACCUCGUUUACUACAAGUAGACGGAUACGAACAGGGGGCCAACAUAUUUAAUACACGGGGGGAGAGAUUAAGAUUUUAGUUGCUGUAAUUAUUAUUUUUUUUUACACAAUAAAAACUAAAGAUAGUGCUCCAAGUAUUUUACUUGAUACACAAACUUAGGAUACAGAGCAUACUGUAGUGGCGUUUCUCAGUGCCUCGUCCUGUUGUCGGCAGAAUCCAGAAAAAUGGUAUGUUAGAUUGUCGGCGUGAAUAAUCGACCCCAUCGUUCGUUACAUUUUCUAGAAGAGGGGCUUCGUUAUCCAAUAAAAUAUUUUAAUAGUACAAAAACACGUAGAAACGUAACUGUUUGCACAAGUCAGUACUAGCAAGCAAGUAAUACAGCCUCGGACACUCGAAGAAUUUUCAUGAUCACGAAAAGUUUUAACUUCGUGCAACGAGAAAACAUUAUCAUCUGCCACAAACUAGCUAUCAUUUAUUAAGUCCUCAAAAUGAUUAAUUAUUAAUAGACGGCAAUUCUCAGGAUCGGUUUAUGGCCCGUCCACACGGUCGACCUCUGCUCGGUAAACUUUGCCUCUUUGCGGGCUAAGCCUGUCGCACGCUUUUAUGCUGCUGUCAGAACGACACUGGUUGGAUAGUGUCUGUGAGAGCCUGGCAGUGGCUCCGCUGUACUCUGACGUCAUUUUUCCGCUAUUAUCUACUAUUUACGUUGAAGUAAAAUGGUUGUUUAAAAGGACAAGUGUGUAUUUUAGAUAAUUACAUUAUACUGAGGCGCACACAUAUCUGUG